rnacentral:rRNA from 1 species
UUAGCCCAACGAGAUCGGGAUAACACCUGGAAACAGAUGCUAAUACCGGAUAACAACAGAUGAUGCCUAUCAACUGUUUAAAAGAUGGUUCUGCUAUCACUCUUGGAUGGACCUGCGGUGCAUUAGCUAGUUGGUAGGGUAACGGCCCACCAAGGCGAUGAUGCAUAGCCGAGUUGAGAGACUGAUCGGCCACAUUGGGACUGAGACACGGCCCAAACUCCUACGGGAGGCAGCAGCU